AUUGAACGCUGGCGGCAGGCUUAACACAUGCAAGUCGAGCGAGCGGCGGACAGGUGAGUAAUGUCUGGGAAACUGCCUGAUGGAGGGGGAUAACUACUGGAAACGGUAGCUAAUACCGCAUACCAUCAGAUGUGCCCAGAUGGGUUUAGAUAGUAGGUGGGGUAAUGGCUCACCUAGGCGACGAUCCCUAGCUGGUCUGCGAGGAUGACCAGCCACCCGGGAACGGAAGGAAUGUCCAGACUCCUACGGGAGGCAGGAGGGGGGAAUAUUGUACAAUGGGAGCAAGCCUGAUGUAGACAUGCCGCGUGUCGGAAGAGGGCCUUAGGGUUGUAAAGUACUUUCAGCGGUGAGGCGUUACCCGCAGAAGAAGCACCGGCUAACGCCGUGCCAGCCGCCGCGGUAAUUC
rnacentral:rRNA from 1 species